rnacentral:tRNA from 1 species
GCUGAUAUGGCUCAGUUGGUAGCGCGCACCCUUGGUAAGGGUGAGGUCCCCAGUUCGACUCUGGGUAUCAGCACCA